rnacentral:rRNA from 1 species
GACGAACGCUGGCGGCGUGCCUAAUACAUGCAAGUAGAACGCACAGUUUAUACCGUAGCUUGCUACACCAUACACUGUGAGUUGCGAACGGGUGAGUUACGCGUAGGUAACCUGCCUGGUAGCGGGGGAUAACUAUUGGAAACGAUAGCUAAUACCGCAUAAUAUUGAUUAUUGCAUGAUAAUUGAUUGAAAGAUGCUAUUGCCUCACUACCAGAUGGACCUGCGUUGUAUUAGCUAGUAGGUGAGGUAACGGCUCACCUAGGCGACGAUACAUAGCCGACCUGAGAGGGGGAUCGGCCACACUGGGACUGAGACACGGCCCAGACGCCUACGGGAGGGAGCAGUAGGGAAUCUUCGGGAAGGGGCGUAAGUCUGACCGAGCAACGCCGCGGGAGGGAAGAAGGUUGUCGGGUCGUAAAGCUCGGUUGUAAGAGAAGAACGGGUGUUAGAGUGGAAGGUUCACACUGUGACGGUAUCUUACCAGAAAGGGACGGCUAACUACGUG